CGCGCCUCCACUCUUCCAUUCUUCCUUCAGCUACCUCCGACCCCGCACCAGUCACCACCUCCGUCUCCAGCCACGCCGCCGCGCCGCGCCGCCCCCCUCCGGCGCAUCCAAUCCAAUCUGUCUCCCACCAGGCAACCGCGCCGCUUCCCACCUGAGCCCAGCGCCAUCGCGCCUCAACUCCUCUCCAUCUCCCACCGCCGCGCCUCUUCCCACCUGAACUGAGCGGCUAUCGCCGCCGUCUGCUGCUUCUAGUCCGCCGCAAUUGCCGUUCACUCCCUCUACUCCGGUGAGUAAUUUUUCAAGCAUUUUUAGUUUCAUUUUAAUAUAGUAAUUUACUAAUUUUUUCUGCAACUGCCGCUCACCUGAACUUGUUGAAUGUUGAUUGCUUCAUUUUUAUUUAUUUUAAAUUUAAAAUUUUAAGAUUUUGUUCAUAAAUUUUGGGCUUGCUGGUUGCUGCAUUGCUGUAUUUCUGUUCUUCAAUAUUGAUUUUAGUCUCUGGCGCGGUCGUGUUGGUAUUGUGGGGCCACUGUUGAGGAAUUGCAGGUGUGGUGCGGAGGUUUGUUGAAUGAGGAGAAGAGAGGGAGGAGGUUAUGUAUAUAGGGAAGAACCGUCGAA
rnacentral:lncRNA from 1 species